AUUGAACGCUGGCGGCAGGCCUAACACAUGCAAGUCGAACGGUAACAGAAAGCAGCUUGCUGCUUUGCUGACGAGUGGCGGACGGGUGAGUAAUGUCUGGGAAACUGCCUGAUGGAGGGGGAUAACUACUGGAAACGGUAGCUAAUACCGCAUAACGUCGCAAGACCAAAGAGGGGGACCUUCGGGCCUCUUGCCAUCGGAUGUGCCCAGAUGGGAUUAGCUAGUAGGUGGGGUAACGGCUCACCUAGGCGACGAUCCCUAGCUGGUCUGAGAGGAUGACCAGCCACACUGGAACUUAGACACGGUCCAGACUCCUACGGGAGGCAGCAGUGGGGAAUAUUGCACAAUGGGCGCAAGCCUGAUGCAGCCAUGCCGCGUGUAUGAAGAAGGCCUUCGGGUUGUAAAGUACUUUCAGCGGGGAGGAAGGGAGUAAAGUUAAUACCUUUGCUCAUUGACGUUACCCGCAGAAGAAGCACCGGCUAACUCCGUG
rnacentral:rRNA from 1 species